GUAUGUAUUUUAAUUUUCUUUGAUGAGUACAGUUUGUGACUCCUUGAUUGGCGGACAGUUUGCAUGUUUUAAUUUGACGGCUAAGCCUCUCUCAGCCCGUCCCUUUGCCCCGCCUCACUUCAUCAUGACCCCCAUGGACACGUGCCUACCCCAGGGUCACCUCCACACCGUCUGACACCUGAGAUCUGCCUCAGCUUUACAGCCCUUUUAAAUCUGUUGCCCCUCCGUUGAAGGCUCUUGUCUUUUGAGGGGAAUAACUAUUCAUUCUAACGCUUCAUUGUCAAAUUGACAUUUAAUUUAAUACAAUUGCUGACUAAGUAUUUAAAUAUGAUCGUUCGGUACAACGCAUGGUCAGAGAUGUCUGACCUGCUCUCAUUUAGGCUCCUGCCUCCUGUAUGGUAAUCAGUCAGCAGGAGCCUGAGUUUGUAAUUGGUUCUUUGGGCUCAGCCGUUUCUGAAGUGAUAAUAAAAGCGGAGGAAAAUGAAGGGAGCGGGGGGGGGGGGGGCGAGGGGGAGACAAAGUCAUCAAAAACAUCCCCAAGGAGUCAUCUCAUCUUUAUUCCCGGCCCGGGGCCUGUACUGUAGCUAACCUCACACUGAAUCAAUCCAUGAAAGCUCUGUCCCUUUACCCUGCGUACAAAAUGCCGCGUCCUUACUUCUAAUCACUGUGAAAAGACAAACACGUAGCAGUUUUAAAUAUUUUUGCGCGGAAACUGAUUUUCUGGCACAGAUGAAACAGUGCUGACCAUCGCGUUUGCUGAAGCUAACAGAGACUGCUGGAGCCCGGGGGUCCAAAGUUGUUCAGUGGCAGCAGAUGGGAUAAUGUAUAAAUACCCACAGACCAACUGUGACACUGACAGACUAUCAUUUAGUGACUUACAUGUGCACAGCACUUCUUCUGUUCUUCUGUUUGUUUAGUGAUGCUGUUGUAAAGAUACCUACAGUACAUGUUUGGUACUGCAACUGUCAGGAUCCUCAGGAGUAUGGUCCACAGAUGAGGACGGACCUCCUUCACACCACCAGCUGCAAGUUUAAAGAGGAAGUGGAGUUCAUGGAAGCAGCUGCUGACAGAGAUGAGCUGAGUUGAGUGUUUGUCCCAGCGAAGACACUUGAUGUCAAAGAGUUCCCUGAAGCGGUGCUGAGUCGUACAUGUGGUCAGAAGGACAUGAGGUCACUGCUGGAAAUGAAGAUCCUUUUGAGAGGAAAUCAUGCAGUAAAGAACGGCAGGUGACGGUAAAACCAGUGUAUGUGAGUAGCUCACGUCUUAAACAUCAAUCAUGUGACACUCGCUGCUGAUGGAACCAGCAUUAGAACUGUUGUGUGGAGGUAUCUCAGGGUUUCCGUGCUACUUUGGUGCCUUUAAGCAGCCAUAAAAAUACACAGGCUGUUUUUAUGUA